GCUCCACGACCACCAGGAAAAGCAUCAGAAUAUACCGCUCAACCGGCCAGACCUAUUUCCUCUGUCAGAAGAGAGCUCGUGUGUUUGCGAGCUGCCUACACAGUGUUUUGUGAUGAGGAUUUUGGCCCAUCGCCAAACUCAUUUCAAAUGGACGUAUUAUACAUCAUGAGUUUAGCGAAUCAAUGUUUUGUGUGUCUCAGCUACGAGAGCGACGGAGUAACGCGGUUGAUGGUGGUCGUGAGUUUCGGCAGACGAAGACAUUGACGGACUACCUGGGAUAGUGCGAAGACAUGAGAUCUGAUUGCAAGCGAUUUUAUGGAUCAAGAGCUGCAGAUGGAUUAAAAUAAUAGAGUUUAUGAUAACUCAGCGUAAAAUUAGAGCAAAUGGACGAAGCUCCUCUCGUGAGACAGAAGAUGGCUGGGAUUGAGAGCGGGAGGAAAAUACAGACGUCGGAGAGAUAAAAAUUGUGUGCCUGCUGGGGUCGUAGGCUAUACAUCAUCGAUCGACACCCGAGGAUUUACGAUUUCUGUGGACCGAGAACAUAUAGCGUCACGGUUGCGUGCAUAUAUGUGUAUAUCAACCUCCUGAAUUAUCAAGCUCGAUCGCCUAUUUCGCUGUAGAUGCAAUAUAUACGGCAGAUAGAACACCGAGAGUGUGUAGGAGUUCGUUUCAUUUCAUUCGGAAUAUAGUUUGAGUGAGAUUGAAAAAACAUAAAUAAAACAGAAUCCUCUUCGCCAGUGGCGAAUCAUCCUA